rnacentral:lncRNA from 1 species
AGGCCAGUGACUGAGAAAAAUAAAAUUCCCAGGAUGCUAUUUCCAGACUUGUGUAUUCAAAAAAAUAACAAAACGGAUCCACUUUAAUAAGCCCAUCAAGGUCUUUUUUUCUUUGAAAAAGGAAAUUAAUUUUAAUGAAUGAUGUUAAAGUAUAGCACUAAUCAGAUGAAUAAUGGCUGGAAAAAUUAAGAAGUGGUCUGAUGGGUCAAAGCAGUACAAGAGUUCACUGCCACAAAGGAAAGCAUAACACUCCCAUUCCUAAUGAGGUAAAAAAGCUAACCUGAAUAAAAAGAGCUCCAUCAAGAUAUGAAGGGGAACUGGGAGAUCAUCUAGGUCAUAUCCUUCAUUUUAUGGAAUGAGGAAACAGAGCUCUCCAGAAAUUACACAACUUGCCCAGGGUCACCCAGAUUGAUGUUGGUGGCAAAACCAGCACCAAGAUACACACUAUCCCUGGACCCCAGUCUAAGGCUUAUUCCACCAGCCUGCCUGACCCUUGUACUAAGCAGGAGGUCUCCUCCAGAAAAUAGUACACCAUCUGGGACUCAAUCAAAAUGGUCUGUCUUAAUAAAA